CCAGUGGUAGUUGAGUUCGGACUUAACAACGUAAAUCCACCGCCCGACACGAUCGAAGAGG
rnacentral:ncRNA from 1 species